rnacentral:rRNA from 1 species
AUCCGGUUGAUCCUGCCGGACCCUACUGCUGUCGGGAUGGGACUAAGCCAUGCGAGUUGCGCGCUUCAUAGCCACGGUUGAGGCGCAGCAUACGGCUCAGUAACAUGUGGCUAACUUAACCUCGGGACGGGGACAACCCCGGGAAACUGGGGCUAAUCCCCGAUAGGUGAGGAGGCCUGGAAUGGUUCCUCAUUCAAAGGGUGCUAGGGGCAUGCUUCUUAGUAUUGCCCGAGGAUAGGGCCGCAUCUGAUCAGGUUGUUGGUGGGGUAAUGGCUCACCAAGCCUAUAACCAGUACGGGCUGUGAGAGCGGGAGCCCGGAGAUGGGCACUGAGACAAGGGCCCAGGCCCUACGGGGCGCAGCAGGUGCGAAAACUCCACAAUGCACGAAAGUGUGAUGGGGCUAUCCCGAGUGCUGUCCGCUGAGGACAGCUUUUCUAUGCUGUAAGGAGGCGUGGGAAUAAGGAGAGGGCAAGCCUGGUGUCAGCCGCCGCGGUAAUACCAGCUCUCCGAGUGGUAGGGAUGAUUAUUGGGCUUAAAGCGUCCGUAGCCGGCUCUUCAAGUCUUUCGUUAAAGCCAGCGAUUUAAUCGUUGGACUGCGGGAGAUACUGCUGGGCUAGGGGGCGGGAGAAGUCGACGGUAUUUCCGGGGUAGGAGUGAAAUCCUAUAAUCCCGGGAGGACCACCAGUGGCGAAGGCGGUCGACUAGAACGCGCUCGACGGUGAGGGACGAAAGCUGGGGGAGCGAACCGGAUUAGAUACCCGGGUAGUCCCAGCCGUAAACGAUGCGAGCUAGGUGUUAGGGUGGCUACGAGCCGCUCUAGUGCCGCAGGGAAACCGUUAAGCUCGCCGCCUGGGGAGUACGGCCGCAAGGCUGAAACUUAAAGGAAUUGGCGGGGGAGCACCACAAGGGGUGAAGCUUGCGGUUUAAUUGGAGUCAACACCGGAAACCUUACCGGGGGCGACAGCAGAGUGAAAGCCAGAUUGAAGGUCUUGCCGGACGAGCUGAGAGGAGGUGCAUGGCCGUCGCCAGUUCGUGCCGUGAGGUGUCCUGUUAAGUCAGGCAACGAUCGAGACCCACACCCCCUGUUGCUACUGAAGAAGCUUUCUGAGGGGCACACUGGGGGUACUGCCGACGAUAAGUCGGAGGAAGGAGUGGGCAACGGCAGGUCAGUAUGCCCCGAAUCUCCCGGGCCACACGCGAGCUGCAAUGGUGGGGACAAUGGGCUCCGACCCCGAAAGGGGAAGGUAAUCCCGAAACCCUGCCUCAGUUGGGAUCGGGGGCUGCAACCCGCCCUCGUGAACAUGGAAUCCCUAGUAAUCGCGCGUCACUAUCGCGCGGUGAAUACGUCCCUGCUCCUUGCACACACCGCCCGUCGCUCCAUCCGAGUGAAGUUUGGGUGAGGCGCAGUCUUGUUGGCUGCGUCGAAUCUAAGCCUCGCAAGGUGGGAGAAGUCGUAACAAGGUGGCCGUAGAACCUGCGGCCGGAUCACCUCC